rnacentral:misc_RNA from 1 species
GAUUUCUUUUACCUCGUAAAAGGAUUCUGCGCACAAGCAUUAAGAAAACAGCGCCGUUCUCGUUUUGUUUUUUCUAAUCCUAUCUUGUAUUUACCUGCCC